rnacentral:rRNA from 1 species
GUUGUAUGGUUAAGUGACUAAGCGUACACGGUGGAUGCCUUGGCAGUCAGAGGCGAUGAAAGACGUAGUAACUUGCGAUAAGCCCAGAUUAGGUAGUAACAACCAUUUGAGUCUGGGAUUUCUGAAUGGGGAAACCCACGUGCAUAAGCACGUAUCCUUACCUGAAUACAUAGGGUAAGGAGGCGAACCGGGGGAACUGAAACAUCUAAGUACCCCGAGGAAAAGAAAUCAACCGAGAUUCCGAAAGUAGCGGCGAGCGAAAUUGGACUAGCCCUUAAGCUUUACACGCGUUAGACGAACGGUCUGGAAAGUCCGACGAUACAGGGUGAUAGUCCCGUAGUUGACGACGUGUGUUCAGUGAAAUCGAGUAGGGCGGGACACGUGAUAUCCUGUCUGAAUAUGGGGGGACCAUCCUCCAAGGCUAAAUACUACUGACUGACCGAUAGUGAACCAGUACCGUGAGGGAAAGGCGAAAAGAACCCCUGUGAGGGGAGUGAAAUAGAACCUGAAACCGUGUACGUACAAGCAGUAGGAGCAGGCUUUGUCCUGUGACUGCGUACCUUUUGUAUAAUGGGUCAGCGACUUAUAUUCAGUGGCAAGGUUAACCAUCUAGGGGAGCCGUAGGGAAACCGAGUCUUAACUGGGCGUUCAGUCUCUGGAUAUAGACCCGAAACCAGGUGAUCUAGCCAUGGGCAGGUUGAAGGUUGAGUAACAUCAACUGGAGGACCGAACCGACUAAUGUUGAAAAAUUAGCGGAUGACUUGUGGCUAGGGGUGAAAGGCCAAUCAAACCUGGAGAUAGCUGGUUCUCCCCGAAAGCUAUUUAGGUAGCGCCUCGGACGAAUACUACUGGGGGUAGAGCACUGUUAAGGCUAGGGGGUCAUCCCGACUUACCAACCCUUUGCAAACUCCGAAUACCAGUAAGUACUAUCCGGGAGACACACGGCGGGUGCUAACGUCCGUCGUGGAGAGGGAAACAACCCAGACCGCCAGCUAAGGUCCCAAAUUACUACUAAGUGGGAAACGAUGUGGGAAGGCUCAGACAGCCAGGAUGUUGGCUUAGAAGCAGCCAUCAUUUAAAGAAAGCGUAAUAGCUCACUGGUCGAGUCGGCCUGCGCGGAAGAUGUAACGGGGCUAAGUAGUAAACCGAAGCUGCGGCAAUGUGCUUUUGCACAUUGGGUAGGGGAGCGUUCUGUAAGCGGUUGAAGGUGUGUGGUAACGCAUGCUGGACGUAUCAGAAGUGCGAAUGCUGACAUGAGUAACGAUAAAGGGGGUGAAAAACCUCCUCGCCGGAAGACCAAGGGUUCCUGUCCAACGUUAAUCGGGGCAGGGUAAGUCGACCCCUAAGGCGAGGCCGAAAGGCGUAGUCGAUGGGAAACGGGUUAAUAUUCCCGUACUUCUUACAAUUGCGAUGGGGGGACGGAGAAGGCUAGGUGGGCCUGGCGACGGUUGUCCAGGUUCAAGUGCGUAGGCUUGAGAGUUAGGUAAAUCCGGCUCUUUUUAAGGCUGAGACACGACGUCGAGCACCUACGGGUGUGAAGUCAUUGAUGCCAUGCUUCCAGGAAAAGCCUCUAAGCUUCAGAUUGUAAGGAAUCGUACCCCAAACCGACACAGGUGGUCGGGUAGAGAAUACCAAGGCGCUUGAGAGAACUCGGGUGAAGGAACUAGGCAAAAUGGUACCGUAACUUCGGGAGAAGGUACGCUCUCGACGGUGAAGUCCCUCGCGGAUGGAGCUAUUGAGAGUCGCAGAUACCAGGUGGCUGCAACUGUUUAUUAAAAACACAGCACUGUGCAAAAUCGUAAGAUGACGUAUACGGUGUGACGCCUGCCCGGUGCCGGAAGGUUAAUUGAUGGGGUUAGACUUCGGUCGAAGCUCUUGAUCGAAGCCCCGGUAAACGGCGGCCGUAACUAUAACGGUCCUAAGGUAGCGAAAUUCCUUGUCGGGUAAGUUCCGACCUGCACGAAUGGCGUAAUGAUGGCCACGCUGUCUCCACCCGAGACUCAGUGAAAUUGAAAUCGCUGUGAAGAUGCAGUGUACCCGCGGCUAGACGGAAAGACCCCGUGAACCUUUACUACAGCUUGGCACUGAACAUUGACCCUACAUGUGUAGGAUAGGUGGGAGGCUUUGAAGCACGUACGCCAGUAUGUGUGGAGCCGUCCUUGAAAUACCACCCUUGUAGUGUUGAUGUUCUAACGUCGACCCCUUAUCGGGGUUGCGGACAGUGCCUGGUGGGUAGUUUGACUGGGGCGGUCUCCUCCCAAAGAGUAACGGAGGAGCACGAAGGUGGGCUAAUCACGGUUGGACAUCGUGAGGUUAGUGCAAUGGCAUAAGCCCGCUUGACUGCGAGAAUGACAAUUCGAGCAGGUGCGAAAGCAGGUCAUAGUGAUCCGGUGGUUCUGAAUGGAAGGGCCAUCGCUCAACGGAUAAAAGGUACUCCGGGGAUAACAGGCUGAUACCGCCCAAGAGUUCAUAUCGACGGCGGUGUUUGGCACCUCGAUGUCGGCUCAUCACAUCCUGGGGCUGAAGUCGGUCCCAAGGGUAUGGCUGUUCGCCAUUUAAAGUGGUACGCGAGCUGGGUUUAGAACGUCGUGAGACAGUUCGGUCCCUAUCUGCCGUGGGCGUUGGAAGAUUGAAGGGGGCUGCUCCUAGUACGAGAGGACCGGAGUGGACGAACCUCUGGUGUUCGGGUUGUGUCGCCAGACGCAUUGCCCGGUAGCUAAGUUCGGAAUCGAUAACCGCUGAAAGCAUCUAAGCGGGAAGCGAGCCCUGAGAUGAGUCUUCCCUGAUACUUUAAGUAUCCUAAAGGGUUGUCGGAGACUACGACGUUGAUAGGUCAGGUGUGUAAGUGCUGUGAGGCAUUGAGCUAACUGAUACUAAUUGCCCGUGAGGCUUAACCAUACAACACCCAAGGGGUUU